UACGGGGGGCGCAAGCGUUGUUCGGAUUUACUGGGCGUAAAGCGCACGUAGGCGGAUCGAUCAGUCAGGGGUGAAAUCCCAGAGCUCAACUCUGGAACUGCCUUUGAUAAUGUCGAUCUGGAGUAUGGAAGAGGUGAGUGGAAUUCCGAGGGUAGAGGUGAAAUUCGUAGAUAUUCGGAGGAACACCAGUGGCGAAGGCGGCUCACUGGUCCAUUACUGACGCUGAGGUGCGAAAGCGUGGGGAGCAAACAGG
rnacentral:rRNA from 1 species